CUACCCUUGACAUGUCAGGAACCUCCGAGAGAUUGGAGGGUGCUCGAAAGAGAGCCUGAACACAGGUGCUGCAUGGCUGUCGUCAGCUCGUGUCGUGAGAUGUUGGGUUAAGUCCCGCAACGAGCGCAACCCUUGUCAUUAGUUGCUACGAAAGGACACUCUAAUGAGACUGCCGGUGACAAACCGGAGGAAGGUGGGGAUGACGUCAAGUCCUCAUGGCCCUUAUGGGUAGGGCUUCACACGUCAUACAAUGGUACAUACAGAGGGCCGCCAACCCGCGAGGGGGAGCUAAUCCCAGAAAGUGUAUCGUAGUCCGGAUCGCAGUCUGCAACUCGACUGCGUGAAGUUGGAAUCGCUAGUAAUCGCGGAUCAGC
rnacentral:rRNA from 1 species